AUGCCGACGCCGCGAAACCGGAAGGUCCCUGCCCCUGCCCCGCCGCGCCGGCCGCCUCCCCGCCUGGAGUACCGCGCAAAGGACGGCGCGUGGUACGGCGCGCGCAUGGCGCUGCAGGGCGACUCGCUGCGCGUCAUGUUCGAGGAAUUCCGCGAGGAGUUCGACGAGUGGCACGACCCAGACGCGGGCGACCUCGCCUCCCCGGGCGACGUGGCCGCGCUCCGCGCCAGGUUCCGCCCGGCGAGCCCGCCCCUCGAGGACGCCCGCUGCGGCGACCUCCGCCGCGGCCAGCCGCUCUGCGUCCUCCGCGCCAUGCCCGACGGCGAGCGCAAGUACUACGACGCCGUCCUCGAUUCCGUACGCUCUUCGCGCUGCGCCGUCCUCACUUCCUUCUUUCCUCACGCAUGUAUGUUAUGCUUUAUCAGCAAGCGCCGACCGAAUACGCAGGUGAAAAGAGCGGCUCACGUCACCGUGGGCGGCGAGGAGCGGUGCGCGUGCCGCUUCACGGUGCGGUGGACGGACGGGCCGUUCCGCGGCGGCUUCGACGAAGUCGGCGUCGACGAGGUCUGCUGCGUGCGGGACUCGCCGGUCAACGACCCGGUGCUGAGCGAGUUCCUGGACCGCGUGACGAGGUCGUUCGGCUUCUGCGACGGCGAGGAGAACGCGAAGGCGGCGCAGGACUCGCCGGUCCAGGACCCGCGGCUGAACGGGUUCCUGGACCGCGUGACGAAGUCCUUCGGCUUCUGCAACGGCGAGGAGAAACCGAAGGCGGCGGCGUCUCAGGGUACCGGGGCCACGCCGGCCCCGGGCAGCGAGCAGAGCGCGACGGCGGCGCCUCAGGCGAGCGGGGCCACGUCGCUCUGGGGCGGCGAGGGGGGGACUGCCUUCAUAAUCAUCGACUAG
rnacentral:rRNA from 1 species